AUCAGAGAGGUGCGAAUUACCAAUUGUUCAAAUCUAAGGCGUGUUGUGGAGUUGGGUGGUCUGGAGCAGCUAUGGCUAGACGAGGAUAUGAAGGACCUCUCUUCGCUGUGGGUGCCCAAGCUUCAACGGCAACGCCAACAACUCCAUGGUGAAGACCUGGAGGUGUACACAUGGCCUAGAGAGUGAGAGGCAUCAGGUUGGGUGGGCCGCAGGAGCUUCAAGGGGAAGGAUGAGGACGGCUAGCUGAGACAUCAUGGUUUCUCUGUUUUUGGGUUUCUUCAUAUAUAUGCGUGUCGGAAUGAAUAGUACUAGUAUGAUACUACAUGUAGUAUGCUCCUACUGGCUACUGGAAGGUUGCUUUGUUAAGUUCUCUAUUACUUGUGUUGUUUACAAAACAAGCUAUGCUAUGCUUGUAUCCCACAGGGUGCAUGACCUGGACUGCUAUGUCGAGCUAUAGCGGCGCACCGUCUAAGAGAAUUGUUUCGUGGUGUUCGCAUGGCGUGCAUGCUUUCUGGUGGAAGGAGAUGGAGAGAUUAAUCAAGAACCACAAAUGCUUCCUUCUGUUCUGCAUUGUGUGCACAUGCGUGUCGGAAUAAAUGGAAGCAGUAGAUGUACAGUAUUUGUAGCGUGCCUAAAUAAAAAAGUAAGCAGGUGUGUAUGAAUUUUUAUUACUGUGAAGAACUAUGGCUGCUGUUUGUUA